rnacentral:rRNA from 1 species
UACGUAGGGAGCAAGCGUUGUCCGGAAUCAUUGGGCGUAAAGCGCGCGUAGGUGGCCUCAUAAGUCCGCUGUGAAAGUCAAAGGCUCAACCUUUGAAAGCCGGUGGAUACUGUGAGGCUAGAGUACGGAAGAGGCGAGUGGAAUUCCAGGUGUAGCGGUGAAAUGCGUAGAUAUCUGGAAGAACACCGGUGGCGAAGGCGGUCAACUGGCCCUAAACUGACGCUCAGGCACGAAAGCGUGGGGAGCAAACAGG